GGGAGAAGCGGACUCCCUGCUGAGCAGGGAGCCAAUGCAGGGCUUGAUCCCAGGACCGUGGGAUCAUGGCCUGAACUGAAGGCAGAUGCUUACCCAACUGAUCCACCCAGGCAUCUCCUCAAGGCACUUCAAAACCUUCACCCUGAGAACCUCUGCCUUGCUGUGUCCACUAAUUCUAAUCAGUCCCUACAUUGAAAGACCUGCCUUAAACCAGCCCCUUUGAUAUUUUGAUUUUCAAAAUAUCUAAAUACACUGACUUUGUCUUCCCAUUCUGAUACUCUGUUACACUGUCAAGGUGGCAAUAGACUCAGAUUGGCUGACCUAUCAGUUGUUCCAGCAAUAUUCUUACAAACAAGUUUUUAAGAAUGAUGGACACCUGACUGGCUCAGCCGGUAGAGCAUGAGACUCUUGAUCUUGGGGUUAUAAGUUUGAGCCCUAUGUUGGAUGUAGAGGUUACUUAAAAGUAAAAUCUUUAAAAAAAUAAAAAGAAUGAGUACAAGCAACUAAUCCUAGACCUGAGCUCUGUGAGUAUGAGUUUAGAGUGUGUGUGUGUGUGCACACAUGCUGUUAGGGACUUUCUAAAGAAUGCUAUCUACAUGGAGUCUCUUUGGCCACAUGGGUGUCACAUCCAUUUUACCUGCUUUCUCCAGACCUGUUAUCCUGAGUCCUGGAGGCCCAGGGAGGAGUGGCAGUUGGAGUCCAAAGUCUGCUAACCGAACUCCUUGCAUGGGUGAGAGAUGCUGUACUUUUGAAGAGAGAGAAUCCAGUGCUUAAAGCCAAAAGAGAGUGAGAGAGACUAGAAGUGCAUGUUUGAUGAGGAACAAAAUGCUUCAUACUCUGUAAGAGACCUUCAGCCUGUUCAUUCCAAAGGUAAGCAGAAGGCGGUUCAAAGAGGUACCAAGACUCAUCCACUUUCCCAACAUAACCUUGAAGAGUUUAAGAAGAUGAAUGAGAUAAUCAGCUUUAAGCAUCACAACUUAAGGCACAAAACAUCUGUUCCAGGCCUGAAGGGAUCAUUUCAUUUUCAACAAAGUAUCCUUGAAAGGACUUCAGAGUUCAUCUGAUGCAAAAUUACAAGAUGUUGGCCUAAGGACCACAUACUGAUAUAGUUGGUUUUGGUUUUUUAGGGUUUUUGUUUUGUUUUGUUUCCUUAUUUUUUACUCACGCAAGCUUUUAUGUUCCUGGCUUCUUUUGAUAAGUAGAAGGUCUGGUGACCUCAGGGGUACAUACCUGGAGCUGAGAGGUCACUGACACCAUUGGGUCAUUGGGCCACUUUAUUCAUUUGUGUCAACCCCUGAAGACAUUUGAGUUUAUGACUCCUUGUGUCUUCCAGCGCCUUCAAUUCAGAAAAAAAGGAAGCAUAGAUGCGAGAGGGUCUAAUGUACUUAAACAAAGCCACAUGCCAGAUUGGCAAAGCCAGAUCUAAAACCCCACAGUUUUGCCUCUGAGACCCUUUAAAAAUAUGCUGUAUUCCAAUUGAGCACAAAUGCUUUUAUUAACAAAUUAGAUGAUUCCUAAGGGUCUUUUGUUCCCCUGUAAGGGUUAUUUAUUUUAGCAGUAAGAUCAAGUUUAGUGUCACAAUUGAAAGCAGUGUUUUAAGAUGGGGCUAAAAUAUGAAUUGUCUUACUUAUCUCUGUGUUUAUAAGCACAGUUCUGUGGUCAGACCAAACUUGGCUUUGCCAUUACCGUGGGCAAGCUUCUCAUGUUUCUAAUAAGAGUUAUAUAUAUCACACAGUGACAAUGGUGAGGAUUAAAUGAAAUAUUUCAUGUAAAGUGCUCAGUAUGGUGUCUGGAAUAUAGUAAGCAUUCUACAGAUUUUGUUGAAUUAUGACCUCAGAGAAAUUAAAAUAAAUAUGGCAAAACUAGCAAAGUAGCUAAAUACUUUUGCAUCUGCAGAUAUGUAUGGGUUCAAAGUGACCCCCACAAAUUCAAAUCCAAAACCAUGGUGUUUUCCUCAGCAUCUCC